GUGCAGGUGAACUGUGGGAGUGUAGAGGCUUUCAGUAUCUGCACAUCCAAAGAAGAAGCAGGUAUAUUUUUGCGUGUGCUCCUGUGAAGAGGGUCUUCCUCUCCAGUGUCUCCCCUCCUGCGUGCUCCGUUCAGACCUCCUGCCAUUUAAUAAAAGAACAGAAGAAACUGAAGAGCGUGCGCUGCCGACUCCUCUGAUGAACAAAAGAAAACAACUUUUGUUCCCUGAGCUGAUCGUGGCUGACAGAAAUCAGCGUGGUAUCAGGAAACACACCAGGUGAUUUCUCUUUUAUCUGAAGAGUGAUGUUCUGCAGUUUAGUUCUCACCUCUGGUCUCAUUAAAGAAGAUUCUCCUGUUUUUAUCUUUCCUCACUGCGAGCGAGGUGUGGUUUGGAAUAUAUAUUGACAUCUGGCUGUGUAGCCCUGUUUUCACUGAGGGGUUAGAGGCCGGUCUAUUCUGUGUCUGGCUGAGCGAGCAUCGUCCUUCACUGAUCAAAGACCAAGAUAACAAUACUCAGAGUCACCUGGCGGCCGGCCUGCACAGACAAGACACCGAGGCUGGAGAAACACACUAACACUCCAGCUGGAGACUCCUCUCCAGAGUUACUUCACAUGCCGGUCGCUUCAAAUGGCACAGAGUGAUUUUUAUGUGAAAACCUUGAACUGUGAUGCUCAGAAAUCCAGCCGUGCCUCAUCAGUAAACUGCACGCAGCAGCUUGUGUUUACUCUCCCCGGCCGCUCUGCGCUGCUUUAUUCGAGGAAGGGAAGAGAUCUGACGCUGUUUGGUGCAGCUUUCUCUGAGCAAGAGACUCGCUCGCUGCUCAUCGUGAGGCAGUUUAGAUGUUGCUGUAGAAGAACACCAGGAGGGAGGUCAGCGACACGAGCAGCUCAGACGUAAGAAGAAAAUGUUGGCAUCCUAAAUUUCUGCAAAACCACGGCAAUGUUGGGUUUGUCUGUUUUAUACACAUCGACACUUGUACAAAACAUGUUCAGAUUUUUUUGCCAUUUGUCACUAUUUGAUAAUAGAAUACAGUGAGCU